rnacentral:rRNA from 1 species
GACGAACGCUGGCGGCGUGCCUAAUACAUGCAAGUUGAGCGAUGAAGAUUGGUGCUUGCACCAAUUUGAAGAGCAGCGAACGGGUGAGUAACGCGUGGGAAAUCUCCCUGUGAGCGGGGGACAACAUUUGAAAAGGAGUGCUAAUACCGCAGAACAACUUUAAACAUAGGUUUGAAGGUUGAAAGAUGCAAUUGCAUCACUCAAAGAUGAUCCCGCGUUGUGUUGGCGAGGUGGUGAGGUAAAGGCGCACCAAGGGGAUGUUACAUAGCGGAACUGAGAGGAUGAUCAGCCAGACUGAGAGUGAGACACGGCACAAAGUCCUACGGGAGGCAGCCGUAGGGAAUCUUGAGGCAUCGGUGAAAGUCAGUCCGCGCAACGCCGCGUGAGUGAAGAACGGUGUCGGAUCGUAAAACUCGGUUGGUAGAGAAGAACGUUGGUGAGCGUGGAAAGAUCAUUAAGUGACGGUAACUACUCAGAAAGCGACGGCUAACUACGUG